UGUGGGAAUUCAGAAUGUUUUAUUUCGCCAGGCAAAUGAUUUCUUCGAUAUCUAAGGAAAUGUCAGUGUGAAAACUACAUUUAGUUCUUCUGACAGAGUAAACAUUCACCAAAAUGACAGUUUCAUCAUGCCAAAAUCUACCUACACUUUGGAGGGAAAAAGUGCAUUUUUAGGACAUUUUAUAUACAAUGCAAAUGGAAAACACGUUAAACCGUUACAUUGUCAAACAACAUAAACCAAAACCAAUCAACCAACAAUGUUCAGGAUACAUUGACAGACUUUUUGGUAAGAAAAAUUUCUUGACAUUUGGCAAAGUUGUGUUCAAGAGGACAUUCCGUAGUUUUAAAACAAAAGUAAGAAAAGUAUACAGAAUUCAACAUUGUUCAAAAUAGAAGGCAUUAAAUAGCACAGAUAAUAUAAAACUAAACACCAGCACUGUCUGUCAGUUUGGGUCUAUGUGCAGCAGGGGAACUGUGAUUCUACAACAAUUGUACUUUUAACUCCAUAUGGUGAACAGAACCACAAACACAGAGGCAACUUUGGCUCUACGUUGACCUCACGCUGCUAUUUGUACAUGUAGAGGAGAAAGUGUCACCUUUUAAGCACAGAAGCCAUUUAUAUAAUAAAUUGCUGUAGAGAUUUAAAAUCAUAUACAUUUGGAACAAUAGCUCCUAAUAAAUAUCAUUUGCAUUGUACAUGUUAAUGAUUACUUUUGCAAUACGGAUGCCUCCUCUUAGAAUGCUGAAAUUUAUCACCACUUAGAUAAUAAAUUAUGUUCUUAGAUUCUAAUCAACGGCCACAUUCUUUUGACCAAUAUCUUAGUUUUUUGUGUGUAUAUUUUUUGAAACUGGGAUUAAACACAGGGCCCUUUCUUACUAAGCAUGGACUCUAACCACUGAUCUACAUUCCUAGCUGAGAUUUUAGUUCUUGGGCUUUUACACCUCAAUGUUCAAAAAGGUGAAAUAGCUGUCUGAAAUUUCAUAUUUCUUCAUGAAUUACUAACUAGAAAUAAAAUUUUUGUACUAGAUUUUCAACAGACAAAUGGUGCAAUUUUUGUUUUGACCUAGAAACAAAAAUGAAGAAGCAAAAGUUGUAUUUUUAAAAGAAAUAUUAAAAUGUGAGGAAAUUUCUCCCAUUUC
rnacentral:lncRNA from 1 species